rnacentral:rRNA from 1 species
UACGGAGGGGGCAAGCGUUGUUCGGAAUUACUGGGCGUAAAGGGCUCGUAGGCGGCCAACUAAGUCAGACGUGAAAUCCCUCGGCUUAACCGGGGAACUGCGUCUGAUACUGGAUGGCUUGAGUUUGGGAGAGGGAUGCGGAAUUCCAGGUGUAGCGGUGAAAUGCGUAGAUAUCUGGAGGAACACCGGUGGCGAAGGCGGCAUCCUGGACCAACACUGACGCUGCGUGAGCGAAAGCCAGGGGAGCAAACGGG